rnacentral:rRNA from 1 species
UACGUAGGGGGCUAGCGUUGUCCGGAAUCAUUGGGCGUAAAGAGCGCGUAGGCGGCCCGGUAAGUCUGCUGUAAAAGUCAAAGGCUUAACCUUUGAAAGUCAGUGGAUACUGCCGGGCUAGAGUCCGGAAGAGGCGAGUGGAACUCCUGGUGUAGCGGUGGAAUGCGCAGAUAUCGUAAGGAAGACCAGUGGCGAAGGCGGGUCUCUGGACAGUUCCUGACGCUGAGGCACGAAGGUCAGGGGAGCAAACGGG